UACGGGGGGGGCAAGCGUUGUUCGGAAUUACUGGGCGUAAAGGGCGCGUAGGCGGGCCAUCAAGUCGAGGGUGAAAGCCCCCAGCUCAACUGGGGAAGUGCCUCCGAUACUGGUGGUCUCGAGGGAGAUAGGGGCGUGCGGAACUUCCGGUGGAGCGGUGAAAUGCGUAGAUAUCGGAAGGAACACCGGUGGCGAAAGCGGCGCGCUGGAUCUCUUCUGACGCUGAGGCGCGAAAGCCAGGGGAGCGAACGGG
rnacentral:rRNA from 1 species